ACCACCCCCAAAAAAUUGCCUUUUUAUCUUGUGAUAAUGUGUUGAUUUUGAACUUUAUUAGUUCUUCAUUAUGUGAUUUAAGUGUACACGUAUAAUUUUCUUUCAAAGCAAACUAUCAUUAACCAUAAGUUUAUACAUGUAGUUUCAUCCACAUUGAUGUCUCAGUCUCCCGUAGCAAACUUAAAUGUUGACCGCCAGAUCUGGUUGUGUGAUAGUGUCAGGUGCUAACAGGUUCCCCUUCUAACGUGAAUGAGAUGUGUUUUAUUUUGUAUUAUAAAUUCUAUGCUUUUUGUACCUUACAUGUACAUGUACAUGCAUUUAAAAUACCAGUGAAAAUUGUUCAUCUAAUUCGAAUCAGAUUGAAUACACUGAGGCCGGUUAUAUGUAAUAUUUUUUCACUACAUGUAAGUUCCAGUAUAUGCAUGCAAAAAAUAGUGUGCAUUUAACCAAUAUUGAUGAAGCUAUAUCAAAGCAGUGUUCUGGUCUCUGUGAAUUAAUAAAUCUAAUUUUAUUUAU
rnacentral:sRNA from 1 species